CCGACCAACAGCAGCCCGCAGGCGCCGAAUAUGGACGAGAGCAGCGUCAGAGCUCUCGUACUGAACGAACUCAUCUGUGGAAGAAGAGCAAGAAAAUAAAGAAAAUGAGCAGAGGACGAGGAAGAAAAAGAAGGAGAGAAGGUGGAGGAAGAGGAGAGCAACCUUCAAUAAAGUAACAUGCAGUACAGCUAGAUGGUCCCUAGGUGACAGAAGUGCUGCCUCUGCUGCACUGACACAUCAACAUCUUACACAAACACACAAAAUGGACGUCACAGAAGCGUUGGCGAUUGGACUGUGGACCCCCCAAAAGCUGCUACGCUAACACACACCGUCUGGUUUUAUUAGACUUGUGGGG